AGGACGAACGCUGGCGGCGUGCUUAACACAUGCAAGUCGAACGGUAAGGCCCUUCGGGGUACACGAGUGGCGAACGGGUGAGUAACACGUGGGUGAUCUGCCCUGCACUUCGGGAUAAGCCUGGGAAACUGGGUCUAAUACCGGAUAGGACUCCUGGCUUCAUGGUUGGGGGUGUAAAGCUUUUGCGGUGUGGGAUGGGCCCGCGGCCUAUCAGCUUGUUGGUGGGGUAAAUGGCCUACCAAGGCGACGACGGGUAGCCGGCCUGAGAGGGUGACCGGCCACACUGGGACUGAGAUACGGCCCAGACUCCUACGGGAGGCAGCAGUGGGGAAUAUUGCACAAUGGCGCAAGCCUGAUGCAGCGACGCCGCGUGAGGGAUGACGGCCUUCGGGUUGUAAACCUCUUUCAAUAGGGACGAAGCGCAAGUGACGGUACCUAUAGAAGAAGGGCCGGCCAACUACGUG
rnacentral:rRNA from 1 species